GAGUUUGAUCAUGGCUCAGGACGAACGCUGGCGGCACGCCUAACACAUGCAAGUCGAACGGAGAUAUUUUGGUUUACUGAGAUAUCUUAGUGGCGGACGGGUGAGUAACACGUGAGCAACCUGCCUCUGAGAGAGGGAUAGCUUCUGGAAACGGAUGGUAAUACCUCAUAACAUAACGAAGCCGCAUGACUUUGUUAUCAAAGAUUUAUCACUCAGAGAUGGGCUCGCGUCUGAUUAGAUAGUUGGUGAGGUAACGGCUCACCAAGUCGACGAUCAGUAGCCGGACUGAGAGGUUGAACGGCCACAUUGGGACUGAGACACGGCCCAGACUCCUACGGGAGGCAGCAGUGGGGAAUAUUGCACAAUGGGGGAAACCCUGAUGCAGCGAUGCCGCGUGGAGGAAGAAGGUUCUCGGAUUGUAAACUCCUGUCUUAAAGGACGAUAAUGAACGGUA
rnacentral:rRNA from 1 species